UAUUUUUCAUAGUCAGAAAUGAUGUGUUUAAGGAUCCUCUAUGUGAUUAUCAUGAAUUUUUAUAAUACUUUUCUAUUGCAAUUAAGUCAAAAUUGUGGCUAUUUAUGACAUGUGAGUGAGUAGAUACAUAAGAAAAACGUAUCCAAGAAUCUCCAAUUUGGGUAAAAAAGCAAAUCACUAGAAAGCAAACAAAUCAAAUAUGA
rnacentral:lncRNA from 1 species